GGGGGACCACCCUCCAAGCCUAAGUACUCCUUACCAACCGAUAGUGAACCAGUACCGUGAGGGAAAGGUGAAAAGAACCCCGGGAGGGGAGUGAAAUAGAACAUGAAAUCGUAAGUUUACAAGCAGUAGAAGAGCGACUUAACGCUCGACUUCGUGCCUGUUGAAGAAUGAGCUGGCGACUUGUAGGUUAUGGCAAGGUUAAAGUAAGAAAAUACUGGAGCCAGAGUGAAAGCGAGCUUGAUAAGAGCGUUAAGUCAUAAUUUACAGACCCGAACCCGGAUGAUCUAACCAUGGCCAGUGUGAAGCUUAGGUAACACUAAGUGGAGGUACGAACCGACUGUUGUUGAAAAAACAGCGGAUGAGUUGUGGUUAGGGGUGAAAUUCCAAUCGAAUCCGGAGCUAGCUGGAUCUCCCCGAAAUGCGUUGAGGCGCAGCG
rnacentral:rRNA from 1 species